GCCUAAUUAGCAUUUCAACUGAUUUGGAAAUUAGAAUAGUUACAAAUUAGCAUGGUUUUCUUUACAUAAAACAAAAGGCUAAUGUCAAGCGUUGUGGAGGAAAAACAAGAACAAAAAAAAAUGUUUUCCUCCUCCUCACAUUUUACCUUUAGCUUGACGUGUAGCUGUUUUCUACACCACUACCUAAAAAUAUCUUUCGUUUCCUCUAGUAGAAAUAUCUUCCACCACUGGUAUCAGGCUCUCCUACGCCCUAAAUUUGCAAAACACAUAAAGCCAUAGACUCUAUACUAGCUGCUCAUUACCUUUUCCUUUCCCAAGUCGGUGACAUUCUCUCAUCCACACUCAUGAUUAUGUUCCUUUGGAAUUUGGUUGAUGAAUAAAUGCAGUUCCUCUCUUACCAAAGAGGCCUUUUUCUUAGCUUGGUGGUACCUUUGAAAAGCAUGGAAACAUGUACAAAAUGGGCAGCAUAAGUAUCCCUUCUCAUCAAAGCUCAGUAAGGAACCCAAGCAUUUCUCAUGAAAAAACAAUGAGCAACCAACAGCACUACAUACCAACACCUGACCAUCUUUGCUGCACUUAAAACAACAAUUUGGCUUUGUCUGGUCAGCUACUGCUGCAAAAUAAGAGCUCAGAAAACGACUCUUCUUCAUGCUAUCAACCUUUUUGUGAUGAUAUUGUUUGACAUCACUUGAUGUACCUUGUUUGCAAAGAUGCUCCAAGCCACCUGCUUUGUCAUCAAUAACAUUCCUCUGAGAUCCACUAAAGGAUCCACUAUUUGGUAUUUUUAGUUGCAUCCACUGUUCACCAUCAUCUUUGGCUCCAUCAAAGGUGACUUUCAGCUGCAUUUUCUUGAAGGGUGCCUUUUUCAAUUGCCUAUGUUCAUCCUUGCUAACUUCAUCCACCAGGAUAUACUGGUGGGAUCCAUCUCCAGAUAUAUCUUGUGGGAUUUUGUUGGCACUAUGAGUAUUCUCACAUUGCUUAUGCUGGAAUUCAUCAUUAGCACUGGCAUCAGGACUCUGCCCAAGCCGAUUUGUAGCAACAAACUUGCCAUCAUCAUUCCCCAAAGACCUGCAUUCAUCCAGUCUUCCUACUUGAGAUUCUUUUUCUGCAUCUUGACUUCCUUUUCCAGCAACUCCACCUAUUCUCUCGGUGGAAUUUUCAGCCAACUCAUUACCAUGUUGAGGAACUGAAAUUUGUUCCACAGGCUGGUUCACACAUGAAGCAUUCUGCUUAGACCUCUUGGCAUUUACAUGGAGAUCACCAUCAUGAAUAUAACCUUGGCUUUCCUGGUUGUCUUGACUUAAAUUUUUGUUUGUCAAAUCACUUUGAUUCCUCUUAAAAGGUAAUAAAUUUCUAACACAUGAAUCAUCUCUCACCAUUCCCUUCUCAUCUUCAGGUGGCAAGUAAUUGGAGUUCCUGACUAAUGGCAUAUUAAAAGCAUUGUAAUCCACAGGGCUUCUGUCAUAAUGAUCAUUUGUAUGCACCAGUCCACUAAGUUCCAUCACAAUAGCUGAAUGUGAAGUAUCUUCUAGAAUUGCAUCUCUCAGCUGUUUGUAAGCAACAAAAAAAGAAAAAAAAAUCACAAGAAAUAAAAGAUCCAUGAUAUUUUUUACCUUUUCGGUGCACCAGAAAACUUCAUAGGAAAGAGAGAUUCUUAGUUACCUGUUCUAAAGCACAAGGAGGCAAGGAAGCUCUUUUGUGUGAAAUGAAAGAGUGGAUAUCCUCUUUCAACAGACCUGAUCCAGACAUGUUGAAAUCUAAUACUGAUGUCUGAAAACCGAGAAAUCCAUGACUUAACAUUACAAUAGUAUCUAUAUUCAAUAACAGGAUUUUAUAAGAAAUGUAUCUCUUUGAAUUUCUUUCUUUCUACACAAUCAAAUUGUUGAUACAACGAAACCCAAACUAAAAUCAAAUUACCUUUCGCACUAUGAAGUUGAGUACAUCUUCACAGCUCUCAGAAAACCUGAUAUUACCGUUUCGAUGAGGUACAGAAGGUGCAAAAUUAUCUAUAGGACCAAACAAAUGCUCCAAUUUUCUCAAAGCAAUCCUUUCCCUCGUGUUUUUACUCAAAUCAUGAGGUAAAAAUGGAGAGCUGUCGAUCAAAUCUGACACAAAUGAACUUCAAACACCUUAAACCCACCAAUCAGACACAUAAUAUAUAGUAGGUAUACGAGAACGAACCAAACAUACCAUGUAAAUUCGACAGCUCUAUGUGCACGAAUUUCGCUAGGUAUUCAAUGAGCCAUUCCCACGCAACCCUCGAAUUCGAGCUAGAGGAGUAACCCAUGAACGCUGGUAAUCGAAAACAGAUCCAUGAAAACAGGAUAUUCAACAAUCCACAUUAUGCAAGGUUUCAAUUAUAAUAUAAUAAAAAAAAAAUAAUGACUUUGUUCUGCUCAACAAGGCACAAGUGAUUUUUGGGGAAUAAAUGAAAAUGUCCAAAAAUUAGGGUUUGAUGCAACCGAAAGCAAGCUAUUCUAUUCUAAAGAAUAGCAUGUGAACUACACAAAUCUUAUAUAGAGAAAGGGGUUUGGGGAGGAAGAGGGCCCCUAAAAGUUCACGUUGGAGAAUGGAAAGAGGGCGUUCUUUUAAUAAUUUACUCAGUUUUCUCGGCAACCAAGCAGAAGAUAAAAUGCAUUACAACGCUGAAGCAGAGCUCUGAGCUCGUAACCAAAGUCGUCCGGUCGUCAAAGCUUGGCGCUCUGGUCCGCCUCUCAACUCAACUCUCCCGCAACUCCUGUUACACUGCGUCGCUGGAUUGCGUAAUAGUUGAA
rnacentral:misc_RNA from 1 species